GCCAAAAAGCUAGCUUAACUCCCCGAACACCUAAAACAACAUUAAAACACUCCAAAAAACUACAACAUCCCAAAUUAAAACAUUCUACCACCUUAGUACGUGCGACAGAAAAGGUAAUAAUAAAGCAAUAAAUAAAGUACCGCAAGGGAACGCUGAAAGAGAAAUGAAAUAAAUCAUUAAAGCACAACAAAGCAGAGACUAAACCUCGUACCUUUUGCAUCAUGAUUUAGCCAGUCCUCCGAGCAAAGCGCACUUUAGUUCUAGACCCCGAAACUAAGUGAGCUACCCCGAGACAGCCUAUAAAUUAGGGCCAACCCGUCUCUGUGGCAAAAGAGUGGGAAGAUCUCCGGGUAGAGGUGACAAGCCUACCGAACUUAGUUAUAGCUGGUUGCCUAGGAAAUGAAUAGAAGUUCAGCCUCGUACCCCUCACCUCACAAAUACCUUUAAAAUAUAUGAGCCCGAGAAACCUACGAGAGUUAGUCAAAGGGGGUACAGCCCCUUUGAUACAGGACACAACCUCAUCAGGAGGUUAAAGAUUAUACUAAACAAGAUACACCGCUCCAGUGGGCCUAAAAGCAGCCACCUGUAACAGAAAGCGUUAAAGCUCUGGCGGAUCCUAAUCUAUUAUUUAAAUAUUACAUCUUAAACCCCUAAUUGUACUAGGCCAAUCCAUGCCCGCAUGGAAGAGAUACUGCUAAAAUGAGUAAUAAGAAGGAACCCCCUUCUCCUAGCCUACGUGUAUGCUAAAUUGGACCCCCCCACUAGCAAUUAACGAACCCAAUUAAAGAGGGCAUUGUGAACAUAUUAAAUAUCAAGAAAUCCUCACACACCCCCAUCGUUAACCCCACACCGGAAGGCACUAUAGGAAAGACUAAAAGAAAAGGAAGGAACUCGGCAAACAUAAGCCUCGCCUGUUUACCAAAAACAUCGCCUCCUGCAAAAAUCAACGUAUAGGAGGUCUUGCCUGCCCAGUGACAUGUUAAACGGCCGCGGUAUUUUGACCGUGCGAAGGUAGCGCAAUCACUUGUCUCUUAAAUGGAGACCUGUAUGAAUGGUGGAACGAGGGCUUAACUGUCUCCCCUUUCAAGUCAAUGAAAUUGAUCUGCCCGUGCAGAAGCGGACAUAUAUCUACAAGACGAGAAGACCCUUUGGAGCUUAAGAUUCAAGAUCAACUACGUCAAGAACCCAGUUAAACUAAGUAGCACCUGAUCCCAAUCUUCUGUUGGGGCGACCACGGGAGAAAAUAAAGCUCCCAUGCGGACUGGGGUAAACCCCUAAAACCAAGAGUGACAACUCUAAGUCACAGAAUCUCUGACCAAAAGAUCCGGCUACCUGCCGACCAACGAACCAAGUUACCCUAGGGAUAACAGCGCAAUCCCCUUUCAGAGUCCAUAUCGACAAGGGGGUUUACGACCUCGAUGUUGGAUCAGGACAUCCUAAUGGUGCAGCCGCUAUUAAGGGUUCGUUUGUUCAACGAUUAAAGUCCUACGUGAUCUGAGUUCAGACCGGAGUAAUCCAGGUCAGUUUCUAUCUGUAAUGCCACUUUUCCUAGUACGAAAGGACCGGAGAAGGGGGGCCUAUGUUGUCAGUACGCCCCACCCCAAUUUAAUGACAUCAACUAAAUUAAACAAAGGGAGGGCACAAUCCCAUAUCAAGAUAAGAUU
rnacentral:rRNA from 1 species